rnacentral:rRNA from 1 species
ACUAUCUAUAGCAAUUAUACCGUGAAACUGCGAAUGGCUCAUUAAAUCAGUUAUCGUUUAUUUGAUAAUACCUUACUACUUGGAUAACCGUGGUAAUUCUAGAGCUAAUACAUGCUGAAAAUCCCGACUUCGGAAGGGAUGUGUUUAUUAGAUAAAAAACCAAUGCCCUUCGGGGCUUUUUGGUGAUUCAUGAUAACUUUACGGAUCGCAUAGCCUUGCGCUGGCGACGGUUCAUUCAAAUUUCUGCCCUAUCAACUUUCGAUGGUAAGGUAUUGGCUUACCAUGGUUUCAACGGGUAACGGGGAAUUAGGGUUCGAUUCCGGAGAGGGAGCCUGAGAAACGGCUACCACAUCCAAGGAAGGCAGCAGGCGCGCAAAUUACCCAAUCCCGACACGGGGAGGUAGUGACAAUAAAUACUGAUACAGGGCUCUUUUGGGUCUUGUAAUUGGAAUGAGUACAAUUUAAACCUCUUAACGAGGAACAAUUGGAGGGCAAGUCUGGUGCCAGCAGCCGCGGUAAUUCCAGCUCCAAUAGCGUAUAUUAAAGUUGUUGCAGUUAAAAAGCUCGUAGUUGAAACUUGGGUCUGGCUGGCGGGUCCGCCUCACCGCGUGCACUCGUCCGGCCGGGCCUUCCUUCUGAAGAACCUCAUGCCCUUCACUGGGCGUGUUGGGGAAUCAGGACUUUUACUUUGAAAAAAUUAGAGUGUUCAAAGCAGGCCUUUGCUCGAAUACGUUAGCAUGGAAUAAUAAAAUAGGGCGUGCGUUUCUAUUUUGUUGGUUUCUAGAGACGCCGCAAUGAUUAACAGGAACAGUCGGGGGCAUCAGUAUUCAGUUGUCAGAGGUGAAAUUCUUGGAU